rnacentral:rRNA from 1 species
GAUGAACGCUGGCGGCGUGCCUAAUACAUGCAAGUCGAGCGAACCACUUCGGUGGUGAGCGGCGAACGGGUGAGUAACACGUAGGUGAUCUGCCCAUCAGACGGGGACAACGAUUGGAAACGAUCGCUAAUACCGGAUAGGACGAAAGUUUAAAGGUGCUUCUGGCACCGCUGAUGGAUGAGCCUGCGGCGCAUUAGCUAGUUGGUAGGGUAAAGGCCUACCAAGGCGACGAUGCGUAGCCGACCUGAGAGGGUGAACGGCCACACUGGGACUGAGACACGGCCCAGACUCCUACGGGAGGCAGCAGUAGGGAAUCUUCGGCAAUGGGCGAAAGCCUGACCGAGCAACGCCGCGUGAAUGAUGAAGGCCUUCGGGUUGUAAAAUUCUGUUAUAAGGGAAGAACGACUUUAGUAGGAAAUGGCUAGAGUGUGACGGUACCUUAUGAGAAAGCCACGGCUAACUACGUGCCAGCCGCCGCAGUAAAAC